GUAGGGCGGGACACGUGGUAUCCUGUCUGAAUAUGGGGGGACCAUCCUCCAAGGCUAAAUACUCCUGACUGACCGAUAGUGAACCAGUACCGUGAGGGAAAGGCGAAAAGAACCCCGGCGAGGGGAGUGAAAAAGAACCUGAAACCGUGUACGUACAAGCAGUAGGAGCCCACUUGUUGGGUGACUGCGUACCUUUUGUAUAAUGGGUCAGCGACUUAUAUUCUGUAGCAAGGUUAACCGUAUAGGGGAGCCGCAGGGAAACCGAGUCUUAACUGGGCGUUAAGUUGCAGGGUAUAGACCCGAAACCCGGUGAUCUAGCCAUGGGCAGGUUGAAGGUUGGGUAACACUAACUGGAGGACCGAACCGACUAAUGUUGAAAAAUUAGCGGAUGACUUGUGGCUGGGGGUGAAAGGCCAAUCAAACCGGGAGAUAGCUGGUUCUCCCCGAAAGCUAUUUAGGUAGCGCCUCGUGAACUCAUCUUCGGGGGUAGAGCACUGUUUCGGCUAGGGGGUCAUCCCGACUUACCAACCCGAUGCAAACUACGAAUACCGAAGAAUGUUAUCACGGGAGACACACGGCGGGUGCUAACGUCCGUCGUGAAGAGGGAAACAACCCAGACCGCCAGCUAAGGUCCCAAAGUCAUGGUUAAGUGGGAAACGAUGUGGGAAGGCCCAGACAGCCAGGAUGUUGGCUUAGAAGCAGCCAUCAUUUAAAGAAAGCGUAAUAGCUCACUGGUCGAGUCGGCCUGCGCGGAAGAUGUAACGGGGCUAAACCAUGCACCGAAGCUGCGGCAGCGACACUAUGUGUUGUUGGGUAGGGGAGCGUUCUGUAAGCCGUUGAAGGUGGCCUGUGAGGGUUGCUGGAGGUAUCAGAAGUGCGAAUGCUGACAUAAGUAACGAUAAUGCGGGUGAAAAACCCGCACGCCGGAAGACCAAGGGUUCCUGUCCAACGUUAAUCGGGGCAGGGUGAGU
rnacentral:rRNA from 1 species